CCCGCCUCGCCUCUCUCCCUCCCCCCGUCCAAACCCUAGACCCGCGCUCGCCGGCCACCGCCGCCGCCGCUCGCCCAGGCCAUCCUCCCGUUGUGAAGGAAGCGACCGUAGAGAGGAAGGGCGUCGCCGGGUGUGCGCGUGCCUCCACGGGUUCGCGCCGCGGUUGUCGGAGGCGUGGGCGCCAUGGGUCAACCACACCGGGGAGGAUGGGUGCACCACAAGCCUCGUCGGAGGUCGCCUCUCCAUCCGCCAUGGCUCUGGCGCUCGUCCUCCUCAUCAGCGGUUGCCUUGCCGCGCUCCUCUCUUCUCGUCUCCCUCGCACCACGCCGGCUGCAUGCCAUCUCCGACGAGCUCAUCCACGGGUCUCCGACUAUGCUGCUCCGAUCUGGAAGAGGGGGCCGGUGGAGCUGCUGCUGCUGCUGCUGCAGGUGGACGAGGUUGCCCUGAUGAGGACAAGCUGCUUCUGCAGGUGGACGGGCCCUCAUGGUUGCCGCACUCUCUCAUCGGGAGUAGUCAGGAGAAGUGUCAGCCGCCAAAGCAGACGAGCCGAGCCAUCAGUGGCUGCAUCUUUGACAUCCUUUCCUAGCGUGGUCGCCAGCAUACGCCGUCCACCGGCAGUAGCAAGGAUCUGACGAGGACAGAGGCUGCUAUGUGCUCACUUGCCAUAUGAUUCGUGUCCCAAAUCCUCUACCCGCCAUGGAGCAAGCAACAACUUGUUGUUGUUAUUUUUGGUUAAAAAAAUCCCUUUUUGUUUUACUGCCAGCUUCUGUUAAAGUUUUUCUACCUUUGUUAUGUAUUGGAUCCUCUAGCAGUUGUGUUGUAUUGUUAGCAAUUGAGCUUAGUUUACAUAUGUAGAUGCAAGCUUGAUCUUUCUUUUUGUGUAUGAGAAAGAGCACUAGCUAGAACUGACCUGUCUCUCUCAUGCAUGCACACAGAUAGAGAGGUUUAAGAUGUGCAUAUGUUAUGUCCCUUUUCGUUGUCAUGAAAUUACCUAAGAUGUUCUUCUAAUUUAUUUUGUACCAGGAAUUGAUCAGCUAAACCAUAAAAGGCAGAAAACCUUGAAGGAAAAAUUGUGCCUGCUACAACUGAAUAAGAUCUGAGAUAAGGACAUCUGUUGUAAUGACAUAUAGAUUGAUUUGGUGCUAUGAUUUCCGCUCUUGAUUACUUCGCUUUACAUGGAUAAGAGUGUAGUACUUAGAUGCAUGGACCAGACGUUUAUGUUCAUGUGUGCAAUCUGAUAGGGAGACCAAAAGCUUCUGUGCAUCUAAGAGUUGAGGUUCUUCUUUUUUGUUCAGAUGUAUCCUUCCAUAUUCCAUUAUUUUUAUGCAUCGGUGAUCCAUUGGGUACUCCAAAAUCUUUUGUUAUGCUGCUGAUAAAUAUGCUCAUGUUAAAAAAGAUACCUUGCUUUGGCAUGAUAUAGUCUCUAGAUUUAUUGAAGAUGUCCAUGAGUUGUAUUGACACAUUUGUUGACUUAUAUUCAUGUCGUCUCUUUGUUCAUAUCCAGAGCUAUUGGAGCAGGAGCUGCCUCUCUUUCUUGCUUGCCCGUGGCUACAAUUGCCUUGAUGUGCACCCUUUGGCAGAAGGUAAAAAGGAGUAGGGUAUCUGGAACUGCUGCCUAUGUCACGAGCAGCAACGGGAGAUUUGUGCAUUUGUUGCAUGGGGAAGAAGAGGGUCAACAUCGGGGAGAAUGUAGAGGGGCGGGAACUGAGGUGAAGAAGGGGUGUAGUUCCAUGGCUUCCUUGAGCUCCCUGUCAAGUUCAUGGUAGAGAUGCCUCAUUGCUGCACCAGUGCCAGGAUUGUUGCUGUCUCUGAUUCCUUGAAGUCAUGUACAUGCCUGCAUCCAGUUUGUGCUCGUCAUCGCCUUCCUACCAUAGCUACGGAUAUGCAGGCCAGCCUGCCACCUCUCUUGCUGUCAACGUCACGGCGGCGCUCACGGUUGUUGCCCAGAUCCUGGUGGGGAUCGUAGUACGAGGCCAGAGCAGGGUAUCGAUGUCGGUGACCCUGCUGUCUCCACAGCACUUGAAGCAGGCACAUGUUAGGCUGGGUUCCCCAGGCAUUAUGAAGCAUCAUGAGCAAUGAACAAUAGCAACGAUUUGUUUGAUUUUGGUUCAUAUUAUCCAUGUAAAGAUUAAGUGAUCUCUUCAGUUGUGCUUGGUCAUCGGCGAUAACCUUUGGACCAAUAGUGUUUGAUAUUUUAGGGGUCCACUCUCGCAUCGACUGAACACAUAGUUCAUUGCUGACAGUAGUGUCUUGAGCAGGAACACCGUUUGCACAACAUUCCUUCAAAGGGAUUAAUUUCACUUCCAGUGGAUAAACAAAAAUGUGAAAGGAGGGAUUCCAUGUCACAAUCAUGCCUAUAGUUGGAAGUUGAUGGACAAUUGUCAAGUCCCGAAAUGUUGGUUCACAGGUCAGGUAUGUGUAUUCUUUAUUUUGAGUGACCACUGCACACUCCUAAAUUGCCGGUUGGAGAUUGUAAAACAAAGAGAAAUAUGUGCCGCAAACUUCUUUGGUUAGAAUCAGUAGUUUCGAUGCUUUUCUAAUUUCAUUGAUUACCGCUGAUAUCAGUAGCAUGUUAGGCUGCCAGCUCUAGAAAUCAUAGAGCAAUGAUGCAUGUUAGUAAGUUUGCCGACCAACCAUGGAUAUAUUUCUACAUGCAUCGUUACUCUAUAUAGAAAUGACUGAUGGCAUGUUUUUUCCUGCAGGACAAGCUACUUCUAUUGAUAUAUUAUUACAUAGUUAACACUUAUUUUAUUAUGCUCAGCUUGCUCAUAGGAUUAACAUUUCUUCUUUGAAAUUACUCAUAACCAUGACCAUAUUGAUAUAUAGAUAAUAUUGUUCAGACAUGAGACAUUUAGCUGGAACAUUUCUACUCUGAUCCCCUUGAUUCACAAAAAAAAAACUGCACUAAGCGAGACACCAUGUACUACUGUAGUACUACAUAUGCACUCUAAUUUUUCUGGAUUUCUGUCUUAUCUCAGAUAUAGAUUACAAUGCAUUUGGUGAAAUUUACUUCUGUGUGAUGUUGCUCCAUGUUAAAGUUUGGUCACUUGUUUUUAGGUCUACCCUGCCCACCAUUUCUAUAAAAAUAUACAAAUUCUCUAUUUAUACCUGACUGCCAUUUUUCCUGUUGGUUGUGUAUAUUUCUAUACCUGAAGGUCUAUAUCUGGAGGAUUAUGCUUUCCCUGCCUUCUAAGAAAUUAUGUAAUUGACUGUUCACAUUGGUUGUAGGUCGUUGCUAGACACAGAAUUGUACUCUUUUCAGUUAUGUUUUUUGCAUAUCUAUCUGUAUUCAACUAGGAAUCUCUCCUUUUGCAACACGAACACUCGACCAGGCACACUAUACGACCCUCUCAUGUUCCUUCCAUUUUUCCUUAGUUGGGUUUAGAGAUGGUUGCAUACUAGAAAUGUUUGAUAAAAUUUUCAUUGCAGUUCUCCUAUCUUUUGAACUCAUUAGAAUUUUUUUAAAACCCAUUUGUUUGUUAUUUUUGGUGCUUUCCAGGUGAGCCGUGUCAGCUCAGAGAUGGUUUAUAUUAUUUUUUAUGAACUAGGCCGCUACCAAUAAUGGCCUCCUGUGAGCAGUAUAUUAUUUUUGCAUUUACCAGCAUAUGAGUCCUUGCACACAUGGAUUACAUGACGAGUCUCCCUAGAUUCUUUGCUCACAUGGAUUAGAUAUUCCUAUAGAGAAUAAAUUGCUUUGCCAAAAAAUGAUUGAUGAGUAUGGCUAAAACUACAGGAGGUAGUGAUUCCUUUGUAGCUCUUGAUUUUGCAACUUAUGGAAGGUUUUUUGCUUUAUCUUUUUUGUUGGGGGAAAAGGUCGUCCUUUUCACACUUGAUUCCGUCAAGGUAAACUGGGUGCACAACACAAUUAUUUAUUUUUGUGAACACCGUAAUCCCUUUUAAUAAAUUGGUAGGCCGUCUGCAAGAUUCAGAAACUAUCUAUCCAUGUAAGUUGUUUACGUUGGGCUGCAAAUUGGGCUGCAAAUUUCAAUAAUUGUGCGACACGUUUGCUCAUUUGUUGUUUUUGACUUAUUUUCACUUGAUUUCUACAGAUAGGGUUGUUUAUGGGGCCUGGGAGCAUUAUAUAUUUAUAUCAAGUUCACCAUAGUUUUGUUGUGAAACUUCUGGUUUGUUUUGAUUGAUCCUUACUUGUUCGUCUGUCUUCGGGAUUGGAUGGUGCACAUGGUUGGUUAGGAAAAGAAUUGAGAUUCUAUGACUGGUGUGCUACAGUUCUGUUAAUGAAAGUGCCCUCUGAUGGGGGGGUGUCUGAUGUUAGCUUUUUGGUAUGGGAUUAGUAUCUGAAUGUUGGCCAGGUGCUCCUGAAUGCACUUCAUGCUUGCUAUGUCCAUCUGGGCUACAUGUUUUGGUUGGCACAUUCAGAUAGGUUUGUUAUGUUAGUUCUCUGUUUUAGUGAUUAUCUGCAGUUCUCAAUUGUAGUGUGAUGUGAUUGAUGUCUGUUUUUUUAUAUGCACGGAAUAACAGGUAAAAAUAGUUUGCUUGAUGAAAUGUUCUAUUCAGUUUCACACACCACCACUCAUAUAAACCAUGUGUCUGAACUGUUUUGCUAGCUUAUUGCCAUCGUUACAGCCGAAUGGAGGAAGCCCAGGAAGCCUUUCGCCGUACUAUGUUGCAUCGAAAUUUCUCACAUUUGGGAUCCUACGUUGUUGGACCUAUACAUGUCUUACUGUUAGCCUCAUGUAUAUACUGUUAUCAUGCCAUCCUCUUUAUGUAUGCCAAAUAAAUAAAUUUCUACAUGUAUCUGAAUAUAUUUUGUGUGCACACUUUAUCAUUCUUUGAGCAGUCCUUGUUA